CCCUUAGAUGUCCGGGGCCGCACGCGCGCUACACUGAAGGAAUCAGCGUGGCUUUCUCCCUGACCCGAAAGGGUUGGGAAACCCGUUGAAUCUCCUUCGUGAUAGGGAUUGGGGCUUGAAAUUGUUCCCCAUGAACGAGGAAUUCCCAGUAAGCGCGAGUCAUAAGCUCGCGUUGAUUACGUCCCUGCCCUUUGUACACACCGCCCGUCGCUACUACCGAUUGAACGGGUUAGUGAGGGCCUCGGAUUGGUCUCGGCCCGCUCUUUACCGGGCGGCGCCGUUGGUCGAGAAGACGCUCGAACUUGAUCGUUUAGAGGAAGUAAAAGUCGUAACA
rnacentral:rRNA from 1 species